GACGAGGGGUCCAAGCGUUGUUCGGAAUCAUUGGGCGUAAAGCGGGUGUAGGCGGCUCUAUAAGUCAGAAGUGAAAGCCCCGAGCUUAACUUGGGAAGUGCUUUUGAUACUGCAGAGCUUGAAUGUGGGAGAGGGUAGUGGAAUUCCAGGUGUAGUGGUGAAAUACGUAGAUAUCUGGAGGAACACCGGUGGCGAAGGCGGCUACCUGGCCCAACAUUGACGCUGAGACCGAAAGCA
rnacentral:rRNA from 1 species